GGCAUAAGGAAUAAUCUUAUUAACCAUUAUCAAAGAAAGAAAGCAUAGACAUAACUGAGGCAAUAGAAGAAAGCACAAACAGACCAUUUUUUUUUUUCAUUAAUGUAGUAUUUGGUAAGACAUGAAAAUGCAAAAAAGCAACCUUUUUUUCUUUCUAUUAAUUUGAAAGCAGAAAGUAAAAAGGCAUUGUUCGUUUACAUAUUAAAAAAUGAUUUUUAAAAGCAAAGAAGAAAAUAAUAACACCUUGCUUUUUAGAG
rnacentral:misc_RNA from 1 species